rnacentral:lncRNA from 1 species
UCAAAACAUGAAGCAUGAAUAAGGAAGCUUAGACCUGUGGUUUCUACAUUCAUCUGGUGAGCAAGGCAGGAGAAAAAGUCAGGGUCAGGCUUGUUGAAGGAGCAACUUUGUAGCAAUAAGAACACUAGAGACUGUCCAACUUCUCAAGUGGGGUGUUCUUACCAUUAUACAGGCAGUGUCUUAGCAGAUGUCCAAGCCCCUAAAAUUCAGACAAAUAUGUAGGUGCAAAGAGUUUGCUAUUUCUCACAGGUAACUUCACACAAAGGCCUCAUAGUUCCAAAUAUGAGGGCUCCAACCUGUAAUCCCCAUACCAGGGAUGUUAAGGCAGAACGAUUGCUAUAAGUUAGAGACUAAGCUGAGCUGCAUAGUUUAGCCUACUACAUACCUAGUUGGGCUAUGUAGUGGGACAUUUUCUCAAAACGAACAGAAAAUGGCACCUCUGGUAGAUCCCUGUAUUACUCUUCAUUGAUGAGUUUCUAUAGCUUGAAUUAAUUGAAAGGAAUAGUGUAAUAUAUCUCCAUUUGAAGGAAUUUAGAAUCACCAUGGAAAAUCCAGGUCUGGAUGUAUCUAUGAGGGUGGUUUCCAGAAAAGUUAACCCCAAGAGAAGAGACUCCCCCUGAAUGUGAGCAGCACCGUGCCUUAGGCUGGGGUUUCAGACUAGAUAAACAGGAGGAAGCAAACUGAGCACUAGAACCCAUCUCUCUCUGCUUCCUAACUGUGGAUGCACCAUAACCAGCUGUGUCAAGCUCCCCCCACCAUGACCUCCCAUGCUGUGAAUCAAAAUAAGCCCUUCGGUGCUGACACAGAUUAUGUCAGUCAUUUUUGCCACAGCAAUGAAAAAAGCUAUUACACCAUCGCAGCAUUAAAGGUCAAGUUCAAGGCAUCUCCUGGGGAGGCUGAGGCAGAGGGAUGCCCUGAGACCCCAGGAAUUAGAGGCUAGCCUAGAGAAUAUAGCGCGACCUACUUUCAAACAAGAAACAAUGGAAGAGUCAAGUCUACGUCCCAGGUGCAAUGUGGGGAAAGCAUGUAGAAUAUUUCACCAGGUCUCUGACAUGAGUCUGCACUCCCCAUACACUGGUUAUAUGCACUUAAAUCUCUACAUCUCUAACACAGAAGUAAUAAAGUCCCACCUGGGGUUAUAGUGACACCACAAUCAAUACAUCAGUCCUGCUUAGGAAGGUGACAGUUAACGCUGGUAUAUGAUUACUGUAAGAGAGCUUCAAAGUCCAUCUGCAAAUAUAAACCAUUAUUUUGAUUAACCGCUUACUGAGUUAAAAUAAGCAGGAGAACCCGAAGUCCUAACUCUUCCUGCUGCAUAGCUACAUAAAGGGUGUUGUCCCUCUAAAAGAAGUAUCAGGCAGUGAAUGGCAGAGCUGAAGCACUCUAGAGAGAGUCUGUCUGUUCCAGAGGACCAGGUGUCGGCCCCAGGUGCAGCGCCUCCAGCAGCCCCAGCAUCUCACGUACUCCAACUUGUCCUCGUUCACUGCUGUCAUCAGUUCCAAGCAACCCGGAACCCAGAUCCCUUCCCUUAGGCUGACUCAUGUAGCCAGCUUUCCCAGCUGUCUGCUCUUCAAGUGGGCGGCGGCGGCGGUGGCCCUAGACCUCCCUGCUGGAGAAGGAGAAGGAGAUAAGUGAGUGGAGGAAUAGGACCCAAGGGAACAGUUAAGAAAUCAUAAGAUUCUCCUGACACUGGGAGUCUGCCAGAAAGGAGAAUCAUCUGUGCCUUGUGGUCAGCGGAAGCCUGUAGGGUGUGAGUGACGUGGCUUGCAGGACCAAGGCCUGGCUUCUAUGAAUAAGGGUAAUCCAUUGUAUAUUUCUGUCCAUAUGUAUUUCACACUUGAACGCACAUACAACUUAUAGGCUCCUGCCUUUGGAUUUUAAAACAUGACCCUUCUGAAUGCUCAGUGCUGGAGGGAACAGGCAUUCUAUGGCUCUGUUAACUUGUUCUGUAUCAUAUGAAAGACAGAGUCCUCCAGACUGAGAGCUCACUAGCAAGGAUUUAAGGCUACAAUCUUCCCUUGCAUUGGGUUAUCUUCCACUGGCACAUCCUUGGUUCACUGGAAAGAGCCUUGUCCUAGGUUCAAACCUUGUCCUUAGCUUGUCCUGGCAGCCUCUCCAUCCCUGGAGUCUGCACUGCUCCUGUGGACCUGUCAUUUAAACAUAAAUGUGGCAUCCCUAUACAUGCAUAGGCCUUGGUUUUACUUAUCCAUCACUUGAGGACCAGUAAGGCCAAGAACAUCAAAGUGGCAUGUGGCUAUGGAGUGGGGAAGAAAGCUGUGGAGAGACAUGAUUUCCAGCUCCAGUAUCUCUUACUUGUGAGCCCAUUGCCUCUGCCAUUUGCCAUCACUGGAAACUUGAGAAAAAUGUCUAAACUUCCCAGGACUUCAAUCUCACUGAGAUGGCCCAGAGCAGAUUUUGGUAGUGAGCUAAGGAGGAGAGAGAACACAUUAACAAUUUCUACAUAUGUGGCAUCUAUGUCCCAAAAUGCAUCAUCUGAACCCCCCAAGUCUCCCUGGGCAUUAGAUCUAAGCCCUGAUUCUCACAGGUCCCUCAGGGACAUCCUACCAAGGUCACAGAUUAGCAGAUCAGAGGCAGGGCACUGGAGAGAUUGCAUGAUGGGCAAAGUGCUUUCUGGGUAAGCAUGAAGACCUGAGUUCAGAUUCCCCAGCAUCCAUGUAAAAGCUAGGUGUGGUGGCUCCUGUCUGUAACUGUGAUGUACUGGGAACAGAGACAAAUGGAUCCCAGGGGCUCUCCGGCCAGACUGGUCUAGCCAAAACAGUGAGCUCCAGAUUCAGUGAGAAACCCUGUCCGGAAAAUAAGGAAAAGGGUGGUAGAGGGAGACAUUUGACCUUGGUAUCUAACUUCCACUCAUGCACGCACACACACACACACACACACACACACCAGGGUCAGAAUCAAGGUCAUCAGGUCUUACAGUUUCCUCUUCUUGCUGCCUGGUAAGGAGGUAUCACUGCCCCUGGUGUUUCACAGAGCCCACUCAGGACUUGGUGGGUACAGUCACUGACCCAUGCUCAAGCUCAUGUCCCUCACUGGUACACCUACAGAUCAGUGCCUAUUCUGCACUGGGGUGAGAGAAUCAAUACAACCUAAUCCCUGCCCUCAAAAAAUUAUAGAGAGACCAUCUCCAGUGUAAGUAAGGGUAAAGCCUGGGUGAUGGCACUGUAAUCCCAGUAUACAGGAGGCUAAGGUAGUAGGGUCAUGAGUUCAAGGCUAGCCUGAGCUUUUCAAUGAGACAGUAUCUCAAAAGUAAAUAAAUUUACAAUCCUUUGACAUGGAGCACGAUGAAAGACUAUGCAAAGAGCAUGGAACUUAAAGGAUAGAAUGUAAUCCCACCUAGGACAUGGGGUCUGUUAACAUGGUGGAAUCUCUAAAGCAGGUUAUAGCUGAAAGACCGCUGUUUUACAUGGUAUGGAAAUGUUUUGAGCAGGGCACAGCAUGAUCGUAACAGUUCCAUAGGUGGCUUAGUUCAUUUGUGAUAUGAGAGACCACAAGGAGCACCCUGAUGGAAUCAGGUCUUCCAAAAAUAAGGCAAAGAGCCAGCCUCGAUGGAGUGUUGAUGUUUAAGAGAUUUCACAAGCCCCACUUGGGAGCAUGCAGCACCUUUGAGAGGAGCACUGACCUUUCAUGGAAGAAUGGCAAUCGUUUUCUGGUCUACGGACCUCCUGCCAGCCAACAAGAUUCAUCUCAAGAGAAUGAAGAAUAAACCAAUGCCUUCCAAGGCUAGGUUUCAAAAGAGUGUGUGCCCUACCACCUUCAUGCCCUAUUUGUCGUGGGCACAGAGGCCUAGGAACAGCCUCCUAUAGGAGGAGUAAGAAUAAAUAGCCAGUUCUAGCCAGUUCUUAUGGAUGUUGACACACAGAGACUCUCCAGGAAAUGCAUCAUAGAUUUAAAAACAAAACCCAUCUUGGAGCAGUUUAGAUUUCUGUUUCGUUUCUGCUUUCCUGGCAGUGUUUGCCAGCCCAUCCUGACACUGUGUGUAACAAAAGCCCACAGUGGCCUUUCUGUCAGAGCCUCGGAGAAAGGAGUUCAACAUGAGGACUGGCUCCCACACUCCUCACCCCGGGCAGUCAUAAAUAAUAGAGAAAUUAUAGACUGCAGGCUAGGGAGGUGCCUGGACUGGCAAGAUGCUGGUCUUAGAAACCUGAGGGCCAAGAAUCUAUGUUUGGGGUUUUGUUUUCUUAAAGCCAGAGGUGGGAGCAUGCAUUCAUCUUCUCGGUGUCAGGGAGACAGAGACAGGCAGAUCCCAGCUGCCAGUCUAGCUGAGGUACUCGUUCCAGUCUGAUGGGAGACCCUAUCUCAGAAGACAAGGUGAAAGGCUCCUGAGGUACAACACCCAGACUGACCUCUGGUCUCCACAUACAUGUAAAUGCAUGUGCAUACCAAAGAGAGAGAAAAGGAGAGAGAGAGACAGAGAGAGACACAGAGAGAAAAGAGAUAGAAAGAGACAGAGGC